UAGGCUGCCCGCCCCCCCACCACCACUUCAAAGCCCCAACAACAACAGCAGCACUGUGGCAGUGGAAGUGGAGUGGAGUUUGGUCUUUGUCCGGACAGAUGUAGCGACAACAUCCCAAACAAAAAACGCUUAUUUGUGCUGAGAUGAGCCCGUCUGCCUUCUGUGUGUUGGCAUUCAACUUCACUAAACAAAAGGACUGGGGGAAACAUCUUGGAUUACCUUUCCUCUUUUCAACGUUAAAAACCAGCCGUGCCCCACCACACACACACACACACACACACACACACACACACACACACACACACAUUCACACACACCACCGCUAUUCAAUGCUUCGAGUUAACUAACAAAGUUUAUUUAAGGGUUGUCAUGUUAUUGGGGCCGUAAGUGGGGGCAUUAGGGACUUUUUGAUUUUGAACAGCAGUGUCACGGGCCGGGACUUAAUGUGAGAACAAUGGUGUUGAAGAUAAGAUGAUACUGACACCAUUAAUGUCAACAUUUGAUACAUUUAUGUAGGCUCACACUUUUCUUUUUCUUUUUCUUUUAAUUAUAGGCUAUGCUGCACUUUGGAUUUGUUGUUAGAAUUUGGGCUACAUAUUUAAAUAACAAAUAGGCUUAAAACCAAACAUUAUAAUCGACUUAUUUCGCCCAUUAGAAAUUCUUAGACAUAUUUUUACUUUAUAUUUUCUACUAUAAGUUUUUAGUCCUAUUUUACUCAUAAAGUAGGCCUAGACACUGUCUAAUUUCGAAACAGCCAGCAAGUUUUUGCAACUUCCUUUCCUCUAAAAUAUUCGAAAAUGAUCAUAAAGUGCCACCAUGUAGGCUAUAUAUUCCCAGAGAAAUAUCUCCAUAAGCCUGGAAAUAGUAAAUAUGUACUUUAUAUUGGCUCAUAUGGGCAGCCUGAGUGUGCGUGUGUGUCGGGGCAGAGCAGACCCCGCCCAUUUAUGCUAAUUAUUGCCUCCCAUUGGUGUGUCAGGGGAGCAGGCCGGCUCUGAUUGGCCAGGUCGAAGCCAUUUAUUCGCUGACAGCCCCGUCACAUGAAUGGUUGUCUAUUAACUUGUUCAAAAACUAUCUGGAGUUGUCAAGGCUCAGGCGGACAGAGUCGAAAAAGUAGUUUGUUGAUGCUUUUUCGGAGAAGCGACUGGAGAAGUUUUGUGGACACAACAUAGCAGGGACCUAUUGGGAGAAGGCUCUUUGUCACUCAUACUCACACACAAGCUCUGACACACACUCACCGAGAGGAAGAGAGAGAGAGACAGAGAGAGAGAGAGAGAGAGAGAGAGAGAGAGAGAGAAAAAAAAAAGAACUUUUAUAAGAGAAACUGUGGACUAUUAACGUUGGACUAUUUUUGUACAGAAAAAUUUCGGGGUGGGAAAAGUUGUAUAGAAGUCUCCAGGAAAAAGGACACACGACUCUUUUUUUUUUUUUCUUUCAUUUUAUUCUAAGGAAGCUCUAGAGGAACGGUAGGAGAUCCCCUCUUCACUGGUGGAUGAAGUUUGGAAGACUAGAAAGUGGGAGUCGCAAUCAAAUGUUUUAUUAUUGCAAUCACCUUUUGUACAGUAUUUAUCAAAGAAACAUUACAAUCAGAUGAAAUUGUUUGUUAAACUGCAAGAGGUUGCAUUUUUCUUUUUCUUUUUUAUAUAAGGCAACGCCAGUUCUGCAGAAAAUAUUAAAAGUGAAGAUGGCAGAACUGGAAUUAUGUGGGAGCGAUCAGUUAUGCUCCUUUAUUACUGCAAACAUUGGAAAGAAAAGGGACAUAAAAACGAAGCAGGUAAUACUGUUUUUUCCAUUUAAGGUCAAUAUUACUAAACAUUUUAAUUUCUUAAAAAAAAGUUAAGACACUUUUUGUUCUCAUACAGCUUAAAAUAUAGGUUGUUAAUUUAUAUUUCCGUCUCCCACUUUUCAUCUGUUAGAGGUAUGACGCUUGUGCUCUUUAUUUUCUAAUUGAUUUGUACAAUUUCUGUAUAUUUACUGUGAUAUUUUAAGUUUUUAUUUCGAAAUUCAUUCCCGUAGUUGUAUUUUAAAAAUUGUGGCCUGCAGUAUACGCAGAAGCCAACCACUCCAUGUAUAUAUAUACCGGAACUAAUACCAUCCUUAUAACAGUUACAAUUUCAGCUGAGUAUAUUUUUUUUUCAAUAUGCAGUUUGAAAUGAAUAAAUUUUGGAAAUUUGGAUACUUGAAA